CUGGCUCAGGAUGAACGCUGGCGGCGUGCCUAACACAUGCAAGUCGAACGGAAAUUACAGAAGGAAGUUUUCGGAUGGAAUUUUGUAAUUUUAGUGGCGGACGGGUGAGUAACACGUGGGUAACCUG
rnacentral:rRNA from 1 species